rnacentral:rRNA from 1 species
UACGUAGGGCGCAAGCGUUGUCCGGAAUUAUUGGGCGUAAAGAGCUCGUAGGCGGCUUGUUACGUCGGCUGUGAAAACCCGCGGCUCAACCGCGGGCCUGCAGCCGAUACGGGCAGGCUAGAGUUCGGUAGGGGAGUCUGGAAUUCCUGGUGUAGCGGUGAAAUGCGCAGAUAUCAGGAGGAACACCGGUGGCGAAGGCGGGACUCUGGGCCGAUACUGACGCUGAGGAGCGAAAGCGUGGGGAGCAAACAGG